UCGUCGCGAGGAGCUGGGGAGCCUUAUAGUUUUCGGAAAUGGACUCGUGGUUCGAUGACGUGGCAGCACAAGGCUCGAUGAGUUGGCAUUCUAGGUGGCGCACGAGUGGUAGGUCGCGUCCCUUCGUCCUGCAUGGCGGUUAGGUGUACGCGUGGCAUCCGUAUGGCUGUGACUAUUCAGAAAUUGGUGAAUAGGCAUGAUGAAUGGACACUUCACUUCAUGGUUCAAUCUGGGCCGUCAGAUCAUAAAAAUAGUGCGAUCCAAUGGCUAAGACGAAUCAGACCAAGUGGUGCACCAGUUCCUGAAAUGUCACACACCUGUUCCAUGAGACACUUCAAUCUCUAUAAAUAGGGACCCCCAUAUUCGUUUUUUGACACACCAAAUCAAUUACGAAUUCAAUUGAUUUCUAAAUUCUU
rnacentral:lncRNA from 1 species